AUAGAGAGGCCUGGGAAUGAGCUGAUUGUUCGAACAGCAAAGGCAUGCCUGACCCGUGCUGAUUUUUGGACCUUGGGCUUAAACCGAGACAUGGAGUCUACCAUUGGAAAUGGUUGUUUUCAACUGAUUGACAGAAUUGCAGAGUCAAAGGGAAAGGACAUUCAUAUUGUUGACCUGUAUACCGUACCAACAUGGCUACCCCCAAUGAGCUGUGAUCCAAUGUUAAGUCUGCCUGUAAGUAUGCACUUUCCCAUUACUAGUUAUGCUCACAAAUCAUAUGUUUUGAUUUACAAUCUUUCAUUACUGCUCUAGGA